AAUGUGUAGCAUAUCUGCUAAACAUUAAAAUAACCAACAUAUUGGAAAUCUCAAAUAACACAUAAAAAUUCAAAGUAUAGAAUCGGUUAACAAAAUCGCGUUGGUCCUUUCCUAUUUUCUUCUAUUCUCAUUCUGACACUUAACAUAAAACACAUGGCUAGGGGUUUUUACGUCCUUUCUAAACACAUCUGUUUUGUCCCUUUCAAGUACCUGAAAGUUGACAUAUAAGAAGACCAUUCAUUACGUUGCAUAUGCAAUACUUUCUCACGCUAUGAAAUGCACUUGAAAAGGUUACCUAAGUUUCAAUUUCUUACCCGCCUUCGCAAAGACCAACUCGACGCAUGAUUUAUAGGCUAAUGCGCAUCAACCGAAAAUUACAAAAAUGCAUUAGGAAUUAUUACAAGCAAAUAGAAACACAGAAAUAGAAACAUUCGAUACAUAAGCCCUUAUGUAAAAACCAUGUACACCUACACAACUCAGAGUAUAAAAUAAACCAAAAUUGUUAGAACGCGGUCAGUCUCCAGAGAUCGAUCGUGAGUUGACAGUUGUCAAGGAUCAGAUUCAAAACUGGGAUUCCAAACCAAA